rnacentral:rRNA from 1 species
GUCGAGCGAACAGACGAGGAGCUUGCUCCUCUGACGUUAGCGGCGGACGGGUGAGUAACACGUGGAUAACCUACCUAUAAGACUGGGAUAACUUCGGGAAACCGGAGCUAAUACCGGAUAAUAUAUUGAACCGCAUGGUUCAAUAGUGAAAGACGGUUUUGCUGUCACUUAUAGAUGGAUCCGCGCCGCAUUAGCUAGUUGGUAAGGUAACGGCUUACCAAGGCGACGAUGCGUAGCCGACCUGAGAGGGUGAUCGGCCACACUGGAACUGAGACACGGUCCAGACUCCUACGGGAGGCAGCAGUAGGGAAUCUUCCGCAAUGGGCGAAAGCCUGACGGAGCAACGCCGCGUGAGUGAUGAAGGUCUUCGGAUCGUAAAACUCUGUUAUUAGGGAAGAACAAAUGUGUAAGUAACUAUGCACGUCUUGACGGUACCUAAUCAGAAAGCCACGGCUAACUACGUGCCAGCAGCCGCGGUAAUACGUAGGUGGCAAGCGUUAUCCGGAAUUAUUGGGCGUAAAGCGCGCGUAGGCGGUUUUUUAAGUCUGAUGUGAAAGCCCACGGCUCAACCGUGGAGGGUCAUUGGAAACUGGAAAACUUGAGUGCAGAAGAGGAAAGUGGAAUUCCAUGUGUAGCGGUGAAAUGCGCAGAGAUAUGGAGGAACACCAGUGGCGAAGGCGACUUUCUGG